rnacentral:lncRNA from 1 species
AAAAAAGGGAGAUGCUCAAAAUACACAGUAGAUACUGUCGGAUCGUUAGUGCUAAUUAUUAAUCUCAAAAGUUCGAACUGUCAGAAAUACGCAACCAAUUCAUUUAAAGCAUACAGAUACAACGCCCACGGAUCUCGAUUGUGACUCGGCACAACUAACCUUACGCCACUUCGAACAUGACUCGGCCCAACCCAGCCUCACACCAUUUCGAAUAUGACUCAGUCCAUAUGACCUCCCGCUACAGGGUAAGAUGCUGGCCCAUUUAGGCCAACAGAUACAACAGCUCAUAGUGAUAAUUCUGGUCCUGCGUCAUUGCUAUCAGU